rnacentral:rRNA from 1 species
AUUGAACGCUGGCGGCAGGCCUAACACAUGCAAGUCGAAUGGUAACAGGAAACAGCUUGCUGUUUCGCUGACGAGUGGCGGACGGGUGAGUAAUGUCUGGGAAACUGCCUGAUGGAGGGGGAUAACUACUGGAAACGGUAGCUAAUACCGCAUAACGUCGCAAGACCAAAGAGGGGGACCUUCGGGCCUCUUGCCAUCAGAUGUGCCCAGAUGGGAUUAGCUAGUAGGUGGGGUAACGGCUCACCUAGGCGACGAUCCCUAGCUGGUCUGAGAGGAUGACCAGCCACACUGGAACUGAGACACGGUCCAGACUCCUACGGGAGGCAGCAGUGGGGAAUAUUGCACAAUGGGCGCAAGCCUGAUGCAGCCAUGCCGCGUGUAUGAAGAAGGCCUUCGGGUUGUAAAGUACUUUCAGCGGGGAGGAAGGGAGUAAAGUUAAUACCUUUGCUCAUUGACGUUACCCGCAGAAGAAGCACUGGCUAACUCCGUG